rnacentral:tRNA from 1 species
UGGGGAGUGGUCUAAGCUGGCAGGACGCCGGGUUUUGGCCCCGGAGAUUGCAGGUUCGAGCCCUGCCUCCCCAG